rnacentral:rRNA from 1 species
CGUAACGGAGGAUCCAGCGUUAUCCGGAUUUAUUGGGUUUAAAGGGUGCGUAGGCGGCUUAUUAAGUCAGGGGUGAAAGACGGUGGCUCAACCAUCGCAGUGCCCUUGAUACUGAUGAGCUUGAAUACAUUAGAGGUAGGCGGAAUGUGACAAGUAGCGGUGAAAUGCAUAGAUAUGUCACAGAACACCGAUUGCGAAGGCAGCUUACUAUGAUGAGAUUGACGCUGAGGCACGAAAGCGUGGGGAUCAAACAGGAUUAGAUACCCUGGUAGUCCACGCCCUAAACGAUGAAUACUCGCUGUUAGCGAUAUACAGUUAGCGGCUAAGCGAAAGCGUUAAGUAUUCCACCUGGGGAGUACGCCCGCAAGGGUGAAACUCAAAGGAAUUGACGGGGGCCCGCACAAG